AAAAUAUUACUGAGUACCAUCAGGUUAAAAUCUGAAUAAACUUUUUUGUAAUCCACCACAGGAGGAUCAAAAUUUCUGUGUUAACAGGUCUGUUCUUUUCUUUUUACCAUUAACAGCAUAUGCUGAGGCAAUGCCUGAAAGAGUUAAAGGAGAAAUGUCUUCUAAAACCUCUGCCCCUUAUGGUUUUGUCAAAAAUUUGGAACCAAGACGCCACUAUGUUUUAAGGGCAUGUCUUCAAAGGGACAUCAGUGCAGUGCCGAACUGCUCGACCCCCCCUAGCCAUAUGAAGAUUUAGUUCUCAUGAUAAUGAUUUAACUACAUUUAUUCUGUCAGCCCUUAGGGUCUUAUGGUCUGAUCUGCUGGGUUUCACUGGGACUUGUUUACUAAAUCAUCAGUGUAUGAGAUUACAUCCUGGAAUCAAUGGGUCCUUUCCAUUUUCACAAAUCCUUGUCAGGGGACAGACAGCACUGUCCCAUACAGGGUUGCGGGGAACCGGGGCCUAACCCAGCAACACAGGGCGUAAGGCCAGAGAGGGAGGGGACGCACCCAGGACGGGACACCAGUCCAUCGCAAGGCACCCCAAGCGGGACUCGAACCCCAGACCCGCUGGAGAACAGGACCCGGUCCAACCCACUGCGCCACUGUACCCCCCUGAAUAUAAAAUCAAUACUUUGAAAUAUCAGAAUACCAUUAAGUCUUAUCUGUGUGUAUUAUAUAAUACUUGAUUGUCCAUCUUGCACAAUCCCCUCUGCCUUGUUUUGGGAUAUUGAUUAUGUUGUCAGUAGUGACAACUUCCCUUUAACACUUGUCAGUUAACCCUCUCAAAUGGUGAUCUGUGCAUAAGAUCAGCUACCAUAUUUACUCAAACAUAUCUCGCACCGUUUCCCCCAAAAUUCAAGUUAAAAAUUCAGGGUAUAAGAUAUAUGCAGGAAUUUUCUGAAACUCAAGUUUUUCAGGAAAAAAUUAACUUAACAUUAUUUGGUGUGGCAUGUCAAAAUUAGGGGUGUUUGAUUGGCAUUGGCUAUUUGCAAUAACAUAGUUAAUGCUCUUCCUAAAUUGAAUCACAUGGCGAUGAAAAUCCAUCACUUUAUCCUCAAAAAUCUUUCGGCAUUCUUUGGCAAAGGGAUGUCCUUUGACGAAGGGAAAGACUUUUCCUCUCCAUGAAUCUCAUGAUUCAACCUUAACUCACUUUUAGAUCUGUACAACUUAUGCCUCGUUUUGUAGCUAACUCACGUGCUUUGAAAUGUAACAUUUUGUGCAAAACGCAGCAACCAUUUUUAUGCAAACCUCAUGACUAACACCUAUUCAAAUAACUCAUCCUCCAAUGCAGGAAAAUUUCCAGAAUUAGGUCCUCAGAAUGCUUUUUCUUGGUGUUUUGUAAUGCAAGUUUCUGUUUAUGUCAAUAUCGC
rnacentral:lncRNA from 1 species